rnacentral:rRNA from 2 species
UGGGGAAUAUUGCACAAUGGGCGCAAGCCUGAUGCAGCCAUGCCGCGUGUAUGAAGAAGGCCUUCGGGUUGUAAAGUACUUUCAGCGGGGAGGAAGGGAGUAAAGUUAAUACCUUUGCUCAUUGACGUUACCCGCAGAAGAAGCACCGGCUAACUCCGUGCCAGCAGCCGCGGUAAUACGGAGGGUGCAAGCGUUAAUCGGAAUUACUGGGCGUAAAGCGCUCGCAGGCGGUUUGUUAAGUCAGAUGUGAAAUCCCCGGGCUCAACCUGGGAACUGCAUCUGAUACUGGCAAGCUUGAGUCUCGUAGAGGGGGGUAGAAUUCCAGGUGUAGCGGUGAAAUGCGUAGAGAUCUGGAGGAAUACCGGUGGCGAAGGCGGCCCCCUGGACGAAGACUGACGCUCAGGUGCGAAAGCGUGGGGAGCAAACAGG